rnacentral:rRNA from 1 species
UACGUAGGGGGCAAGCGUUGUGGAUUCAUUGGGCGUAAAGAGCGUGUAGGCGGCCAGGUAGGUCGGUUGUGAAAACUGGAGGCUCAACCUUCAGAGGUCGACCGAAACCAUCUGGCUAGAGUCCGGGAGAGGAGAGUGGAAUUCCUGGUGUAGCGGUGAAAUGCGCAGAUAUCAGGAAGAACACCCGUGGCGAAAGCGGCUCUCUGGAACGGUACUGACGCUGAGACGCGAAAGCGUGGGGAGCGAACAGG